AAAGGGAGAGCAGCAGCGGACGGGUGAGUAAAGCACAAGGACUUGUCCCGAAGAGGGGGACAACUGUGGGAAACCACAGCUAAUACCCCAUAAGCCGAGAGGUGAAAGCAGUAAUGCGCUUUAGGAGAGACUUGUGUCCUAUCAGGUAGUUGGUGAGGUAACGGCUCACCAAGCCCGAAGACGGGUAGCCGGACUGAGAGGGUUGUACGGCCACAUUGGAACUGAGAGACGGUCCAGACUCCUACGGGAGGCAGCAGUGGGGAAUAUUGGGCAAUGGGGGGCCAACCCUGACCCAGCGACGCCGCGUGGGGGAAGACAGCCUUCGGGUUGUAAACCUCUGUUGCAGGGGAAGAAGAAAGUGACGGUACCCUGCGAGGAAGCUCCGGCAAACUACGUGCCAGCCGCCGC
rnacentral:rRNA from 1 species